GAAAGCAUCUAAGCGGGAAGCGAGCCCUGAGAUGAGUCUUCCCUGAUACUUUAAGUAUCCUAAAGGGUUGUUCGAGACUAGAACGUUGAUAGGCAGGGUGUGUAAGCGCUGUGAGGCGUUGAGCUAACCUGUACUAAUUGCCCGUGAGGCUUAACCAUACAACACCCAAAGGGUUUUG
rnacentral:rRNA from 1 species